CAAUGGGGGAACCCUGAUGCAGCGACGCCGCGNUGNAAGGAAGAAGUAUCUCGNUCCNCUNAAACUUCNGUGANAANAGGGNAAGAUAGUGACGGUACCUGACUUCCAAGCCCCGGCUAACUACGUGCCAGCAGCCGCGGUAAUACGUAGGGGGCAAGCGUUAUCCGGAUUUACUGGGUGUAAAGGGAGCGUAGACGGACUGGCAAGUCUGAUGUGAAAGGCGGGGGCUCAACCCCUGGACUGCAUUGGAAACUGUUAGUCUUGAGUGCCGGAGAGGUAAGCGGAAUUCCUAGUGUAGCGGUGAAAUGCGUAGAUAUUAGGAGGAACACCAGUGGCGAAGGCGGCUUACUGGACGGUAACUGACGUUGAGGCUCGAAAGCGUGGGGAGCAAACAGGAUUAGAUACCCUGGUAGUCUAAGGGCGAAUUC
rnacentral:rRNA from 1 species